GGAAUAUUAAUCAAGAAGAGUCCUGAUCUCAAGCUUGAGGCUUGUACAGAUGUGGAUUCUGAUGGAUCAAUGGUAAACAAGAGGUCUACAACUGGUUAUUGUACCUUCCUUGGAGGUAACUUGGAAAACUGGAGAAAU